GCCGUCUUAGCUCAGUUGGUAGAGCACUCGGCUGUUAACCGAGCGGUCGCCGGUUCGAGUCCGGCAGACGGCG
rnacentral:tRNA from 1 species